UGGCAAGUCUGUUGGAUCAGGUUGACUGC
rnacentral:piRNA from 1 species